rnacentral:lncRNA from 1 species
CCAAAACUAAUAUUUAAAUAAAUCUAACCAUAGAAAAUUCUUUUCAAAAUACGCAGCGGAUAAUAAAAUUAAAACGACUCGAAGUCGUAGAUAAAAUAUAAAAUAACGGUUUUAGAUAUUAGAUACUUCAAAAACAUUGCUAAUUAGCAUAAGCCUCGCUUAAUAAAAAUUGUUUUCUAAAAUAAAAUACAUUUAAAAUAAAAUAAGAAUACAAGUACAAGACUCGAUAAACCAUUCCCCGUGUCAUAAUCAGAGCGGAGCUUCACCGACAACUCGACCACAAACUCAUAACUUGAGAAACCUGAACCCCCAACGGUUCAGCAAGUACACAAAACAGAGGGUUAGAUAAUAUAACCAUAAAUAGUGACUAAUAUAAGGUAUAUCAGAAACCUAAAUAAAGUCAAACAAAUGAAUAAAUUCAUCUCAUACAAUUAUUCAACAUGAUAAGCACAUACCAAUAUGUAUCAGACAACUCAGACAUAUAACAAAUAUGUUCAGACAAGUAUCAGAUAUAAAGGUAAACAUAACGAUGUCAAUUACCAUUCAUCAAGUAAGAAUAUCACAUAAUUCUUAAUGCAAUUAGAUGUAAUGUCCUCUAGGCAUAUCUAUAUGCAUGUGGUACCCAUCAUCAUAAUUUUGGAAAACUUAUUCCAAAUGUUUUAGAUCAUCGUCUCUAAAACAACAGUAAACUAGAUCAUCGUCUCUAGAAUACUUAUCAAUAGACACAACUUAUGAAUGCAUGAAUGUGCAUAUACCAAACAUAUGAUUUUAUCUCAACUAUAACAUCGACAUAAUAUGGAUAACAUAAUCCAAAUAUUCUAAAUCAUCGUCUUUAGAAUACAUCUACUCAUGAUAAAUCAUCAUUUAUCAUCAUCAAUAAUUCAACAUCAUAAAUCAUCACAUAAUCACACUAAUCUUCAAUAAGAUUUAUUCAUCAAUAAUUCAUCAAUAUAAUCAUAAUACAUCAUCAAUAAUCAACAUCAUGAUUAUCACCAUCUAUCAACAACCUAGCCAUCAUCAUUAAUCAACAACAUAUUCAUUCACAAGACACUAAAGUCACACACCAUUCAAGGGUUCAUCAAUUCCAAUUAAUUAAGCAUACGAAAGUUAAUUUAAACUAAAAUAAUGCCAAAAAUAUAAGCAACAUCAUCAUCCAAACAUAAUCUCAGAAAAUGGACACCGGAAUCGGAAUCUACGCGAAAAACUGGGCAAGAUGGGUUCCGGCUAAAUAAGUCGACAAAAGUCAACGAUUGGUCAACAGAACAGAGCUGCAGAUUAGCGUCGGCCAAGUGCUUCGCAAAUGCACUAUUCAUUCUGCAGAAUUCUGCAGGACACGUUUUGGCUUGAUUUUGGUCCAAAUAAGCACUUAUAAGCUGCUAAUAAUCACUUAAAACAGUCCAGAAUUCAUAUUUAAAUAUUACUACACUUAUAGCUUAUUUAAAACAACUUAAAUCAACAUAAAUUACUCAAACAUAAUCAUUUUUCAUGGAUUAUUCAUCAUUUUCAUGAAUUUAUCAACAACCUUCAAAUAAUCAACAACAACUUACAAAGUACUAAUUUUUAUCACAGCUUCUCAUUUCUAAAUCAUGAACAAAUAUGCAUAAUCACUUAUUAUAACAUAAAAAUUCAAAAUCUACACAUUCCCAAAAUCCCAUAACAUACCCAAAAAUGAAAAAGAGAUGAGAAGAGUUUGGGCUAGAGAAGAAUACUUCUCUCCUCUCCAUUAAUUCAUCUCAAAGAUUAUAAAACUACCCUCAUACCUUAGGUGAAGCUUGAAAAUUGAAGUUUGAGUGUUCUUGAGCUUGAUUCCCUCGUUUCCCUUUUCUUCCAUUCUUGGUUUCUAGAGCUUUUAUUUCUACCCCCACCAAAGUUG